rnacentral:misc_RNA from 1 species
GUGAGUCAUCGAAUCUUUGAACGCACAUUGCGCCCGCCAGUAUUCUGGCGGGCAUGCCUGUUCGAGCGUCAUUUCAACCCUCAAGACCCCUGUGGACUUGGUGUUGGGGACCGGCGGCGCCUCUCUGGUGUCACCGCCCCCUAAAUGAAUUGGCGGCCUCGUCGCGGCCCUCCUCUGCGUAGUAGCACACACCUCGCAACAGGAGCCCGACGGCGGCCACUGCCGUAAAACGCCCAAACUUUUUUAGAGUUGACCUCGAAUCAGGUAGGAAUACCCGCUGAACUUAAGCAUAUCAAUAAGCGGAGGA